GCUCUGACUCAUAAAAAUCACCCUCUCCCUGUAAGCGAGGGAAAAAAAGAUAAAACAGCACUUCUUCAGCAAGGUUUAAAUUUUGCUUCUUUAUUCUGGUACAUUUUAAGCUUUAAUUAGCACGUUUGAUCCUCUUAAACAGAAAUCAGAAUGUGUGAAAUCUUUAUAUUAGCAGAAAGAAGAGAGACCUUGGAAACAGGUGGAUCUUGUUCAUUACUAUAUCUGAGAUCUAGCCUUCUCCCUAAAUUAAUUAGUUGCAAAUUAGUUUUGUAAUUCAAUGAAAAAUUGAACAUGCUUGAGCAAGCAACCUUCCGAGAAGCUAGACACGAACAUGCAUAGAUUUCAGUUCUAUCUAGACAGAUUCCUCUCUCCAAAACCUGUCACUAAGGUAUAAUCCCCAGGGCUCAAUAUAGGUAUGAAACUGAAGAGAUGUAAAGCUCCAUAGUGCUAUUUGCAAAAAAACCGAAAUGAGUAUUACAUUCAAUAAUAAUUAUGCUGGGCUGCUUUCCAUUAUCACUGAACAGGUUCAGACAAAGCUACUGCUGGAGAAGGGACAAAUCUCCCAAGAGAAGUUACUUAAAAGCUUGGGGAAUGAUCUUGUGGAAUGUCCCCUGUGUAAAUGGAACAUGGAGCUUUUGCAGUGGAAAAUAAUUUGUUGGGAAUUCUCAUCUACAGCAGAAAACAGCUUUUUCCUGCAGGGAAAUGAAAAGGAUAUUACUAACUGACAAUCUGCUCCCUUUCUUUUAGGAAUGGAUUUGACUUGUUACAAGCAGAGAGAGAGAGAAAAUCUGGCCUUUGACCCCAGGUGAAUUUAGAGAAAGUAACUUCUGAAUUCAGAUGCUUGAUUCACUCCUAUGGCUUGGGUUCUGUUUCGAGACCUGAGAGGUUCUGUUUUCUGAUUUAGACUGAAAUACAUACGACUUGUAUUUCCUUAGAAAGCCAGAAGCUGAUAAGCUGAUGAGGGUCUUGAAGAGAACCGCAUUAGCAUUGUGAGAAAACUGAAAAGGGAGCUGUGACAAUGCCAACAAAUCAUGGAUCCAGCAACAGAGAAAACUCAUUGCCCUCCCUGGAUUUGAAGAGGAGACAGCUGAGUCAGAAUGGACUGAGCUCACAUUUCAUCAUCUUGACUCAAAGUUAUUCCUAAGGGCAAGAACUAGUCAGCUAUGUCACAGUCUCCUGGGAAGCUGUGGUAACCCCUUUGGCUUGAUGCAGACAAAGAAGGGAAAAAGCACACCACACUGAACAGCUCUGCACUGGCUGAUGGGCAGUAGAUUUGAAGAGCAUGGCUGGGACAGGCUGGUGGCACCGCCAAGACUCACAGCAAAUGGAGUUCGGCUGCUUGCAGUUUUUGAAGAGGUUAUCUCCCAGCUCACCACUGAGGUAGUCUUUGUCAUGUUUCUCUUCAAGCUGGUUAAGUUCCUUCUUUUUAUAGAGUGGAAUACUACUGAUUUGUAAUGAAUAGUUUCCAGGCACUGGCUUCUUCUUUGUGAAAUGAAGUGUUGUGAGGGCAGGGAGCAGUUCCAGGAUGCGGUCUUUGUUACUGAGAUCUGAGAUGUUGAUGGAGAAGACUGCUGCUUUCUCAACAUCCCAGCUGGCGAGACUGAUGGGCGGCUGCAGCUCUUGCUCAUCCUGCACAAGAACAAAUGAUGUCAGUUGGCUUUCUCAGAGCGCGUUCCAUGCAUGCCUGUGUGUAUGUGUUGCUCACCCAGCUCAUUCAUUAUUAAUUAAAUACUUUUCAGAAGGA